GAUGAACGCUAGCUACAGGCUUAACACAUGCAAGUCGAGGGGCAGCAUGGUCUUAGCUUGCUAAGGCCGAUGGCGACCGGCGCACGGGUGAGUAACACGUAUCCAACCUGCCGUCUACUCUUGGACAGCCUUCUGAAAGGAAGAUUAAUACAAGAUGGCAUCAUGAGUCCGCAUGUUCACAUGAUUAAAGGUAUUCCGGUGGACGAUGGGGAUGCGUUCAAUUAGAUAGUAGGCGGGGUAACGGCCCACCUAGUCUUCGAUGGUUAGGGGUUCUGAGAGGAAGGUCCCCAACAUUGGAACUGAGACACGGUCCAAACUCCUACGGGAGGCAGCAGUGAGGAAUAGUGGUCAAUGGGCGAGAGCCUGAACCAGCCAAGUAGCGUGAAGGAUGACUGCCCUAUGGGUUGUAAACUUCUUUUAUAAAGGAAUAAAGUCGGGUAUGGAUACCCGUUUGCAUGUACUUUAUGAAUAAGGAUCGGCUAACUCCGUG
rnacentral:rRNA from 1 species